rnacentral:rRNA from 1 species
UACGUAGGGGGCAAGCGUUGUCCGGAUUUAUUGGGCGUAAAGGGCGCGUAGGCGGUUUCUUAAGUUUGGAGUGACAGUGGGUGGCUUAACUACCCAAGGCCGUUGAAAACUGGGGAACUUGAGGACCAGAGAGGGACAUAGAAUUCCGGGUGGAGUGGUGAAAUGCGUAGAUAUCCGGAGGAAUACCAAAGGCGAAGGCAGUGUCCUGGAGGGUGACUGACGCUGAGGCGCGAAAGCUAGGGGAGCGAACAGG